UGGGGAAUAUUGGACAAUGGGCGCAAGCCUGAUCCAGCAAUGCCGCGUGUGUGAAGAAGGCCUUCGGGUUGUAAAGCACUUUUAUCAGGAGCGAAACGCUGUCGGCUAAUACCCGGCGGAACUGACGGUACCUGAGGAAUAAGCACCGGCUAACUUCGUGCCAGCAGCCGCGGUAAUACGAAGGGUGCAAGCGUUAAUCGGAAUUACUGGGCGUAAAGCGUGCGUAGGCGGUUUCUUAAGUCUGCUGUGAAAUCCCCGGGCUCAACCUGGGAAUGGCAGUGGAUACUGGGAGGCUAGAGUGUGUCAGAGGGUGGUGGAAUUCCCGGUGUAGCGGUGAAAUGCGUAGAGAUCGGGAGGAACAUCAGUGGCGAAGGCGGCCACCUGGGACAACACUGACGCUGAGGCACGAAAGCGUGGGGAGCAAACAGGAUUAGAUACCCUGGUAGUCCACGCCCUAAAACGAUGCGAACUGGAUGUUGGUCUCAACUCGGAGAUCAGUGUCGAAGCUAACGCGUUAAGUUCGCCGCCUGGGGAGUACGGUCGCAAGACUGAAACUUAAAUGAAUUGAC
rnacentral:rRNA from 1 species